rnacentral:rRNA from 1 species
UACGAAGGGGGCUAGCGUUGCUCGGAAUCACUGGGCGUAAAGCGCACGUAGGCGGAUUGUUAAGUCAGGGGUGAAAUCCUGGAGCUCAACUCCAGAACUGCCUUUGAUACUGGCGAUCUCGAGUCCGGGAGAGGUGAGUGGAACUGCGAGUGUAGGGGUGAAAUUCGUAGAUAUUCGCAAGAACACCAGUGGCGAAGGCGGCUCACUGGCCCGGUACUGACGCUGAGGUGCGAAAGCGUGGGGAGCAAACAGG